rnacentral:rRNA from 1 species
AACCACAUAAGCAGGUGAAACUUCUUAGAGGAACUGGCGCUCAAAAAGGCGCACGAGAAAGAGCAAUAACAGGUCUGUGAUGCCCUAAGAUGUCCGGGGCCGCACGCGUGCUACAAUGACGAUGCUACUGAGCAUGAUUAACUUGUCCGAAAGGAUCGGUGAAACUGUUCAAUCAUCGUCGUGACUGGGAUUGGGGUUUGCAAUUGUCCCCCAUGAACCAGGAAUUCCUAGUAAGCACAAGUCAUAAGCUUGUGCUGAUUACGUCCCUGCCCUUUGUACACACCGCCCGUCGCUACUACCGAUUGAAUGGUUUAGCAAGGACAUUGGAUCGAGCCUUUGCGGUUCACACUGCUUGGGUUUGAGAAGAUGUCCGAACUUGAUCAUUUAGAGGAAGUAAAAGUCGUAACAAGGUUUCCGUAGGUGAACCUGCGGAAGGAUCAUUAUCAAGUUUCCUAACUCAAACGCUUGGCGUCUAGUGUCUUGGUGAUCCUGUGCCUUGCUCUGUCUCUCGACAGCUUAGAACUGUAUUCUCCUAUGCGGCAAAGCCUUAAGGUUGGUCGUGAGGGUGCAUUCUCUAAUGCUGCUCUGUGGGGCAUUGCUCGCUGUACAGUGUUGCCUUGCUGCUUAGGCGUCAUGUGUUAGAUCCGGUCGAGGGACUAUGCCCUCAUGCUGGAUCGUUGUGGUACAGAAAUGUACGUUGUGGUGCUGGCUGUAACACUCUUACGGUCUGUCAUUCGCUUCGUACAUCAG